rnacentral:rRNA from 1 species
GACGAACGCUGGCGGCAUGCCUAACACAUGCAAGUCGAACGGAGCAGCAAUGCUCAGUGGCGGACGGGUGCGUAACACGUGAGCAACCUGCCCUUUACAACGGGAUAACACAGAGAAAUUUGUGCUAAUACGGUAUGAGACCACAGUACGGCAUCGUACAGGGGUUAAAGUUCAGGCGGUAAAGGAGGGGCUCGCGGCCCAUUAGAUAGUUGGUGAGGUAACGGCUCACCAAGUCGACGAUGGGUAGCCGACCUGAGAGGGUGAUCGGCCACACUGGAACUGAGAUACGGUCCAG